GUCGCGAUUUUGUUUAGCGACUCCGACUCCGCUAAAAAUGUAGUAACUUCGCAACUCCGACUCCACAGCCCUGUUUUAAAGUGCUACCAACAUCUUUAUUUCAAUAUUAUAAUAAUAUUUGUGCAUGGAGCUAAUGAGGCGCAUCUUGACGAAAGAACCACACGAAGCUUGCAAGACGCAGAUUGCCGACCCCUGGUUGUCGACCCUUGUUUAUAGAACUUGUUAAACGUAUUUUUCGUUAUACUAACUCUAUUAUAAGUAAUUGGCUUUUACUAUGAAAUUAAAUUAGGCAUGAAGUUAAAGCGAGGAAGAUUGGCACAUUGAAGUGUUGCAUUAAUUUGAAAUAUGUUCAUAAUUUAAACGUGUAUAGUGUAUACAUUUUUGUGAACCCUUUAACCUUUAUUAUUUGUUCGGAGUAAGUUUUUGUAGUUAUAAACUAGAAAUAUGUUCUUAAGUUAAAAGUUUAAUAACUUUUUUUAUA